rnacentral:rRNA from 1 species
CAGUCGCCGCGGUAAAACGUAGGGUGCAAGCGUUAAUCGGAAUUACUGGGCGUAAAGCGUGCGCAGGCGGUUAUAUAAGACAGAUGUGAAAUCCCCGGGCUCAACCUGGGAACUGCAUUUGUGACUGUAUAGCUAGAGUACGGCAGAGGGGGAUGGAAUUCCGCGUGUAGCAGUGAAAUGCGUAGAUAUGCGGAGGAACACCGAUGGCGAAGGCAAUCCCCUGGGCCUGUACUGACGCUCAUGCACGAAAGCGUGGGGAGCAAACAGGAUUAGAUACCCGGGUAGUCCCUGUCUCUUAUAC